rnacentral:lncRNA from 1 species
UGAGAGGCUCUGCUAGAGCCCUACUGAUACAGAUGAGGAUGCUUGAAGGUACCCAUUGGGCUGAACAAGGGGACCCAAAUGGAGGAGUUAGAGAAAAGACUGAAGGAGCUGAAGGAGUUUGCAACCCCAUAGGAAGAACAACAAUAUCAACCAACCAGACCUCACCAGAGCUCCCAAGGACUAAACCACCAACCAAUAAGUAUACAUGGAAGGACCCAUGAUUCCAGCCACAUAUGUAGCAGAGGAUGUCAUUGUCCAGCAUCAAUAGGAGGAAAAGCACUUGGUCCUGUGAAGACUAAUUUCCCCACUGCAGGGUAAUGCCAGGGCGUUGAGGUGGGAGUGAGUGGGUGGGAGUGGGAGCAUCCUCAGAGAAGCAGGGGUAGUGGGGAGGAGGUAUGGGAGAGGGGAAAAGGGGGAUAGCAUUUAAAAUGUAAACACAUAAAAUAUACAAGAGAAAAAAAAAGAACUUAUGGUGAGACUUAGGCUCUAUCUACUGAUUUUAAGCCCUUAAAAAUGAUUUUGAUAGAUUUAUAGGCUCAGUUUUACUUUUAUAUUUAGAUGCAAAGUACUUUAUUUGUAUUUUUGUUGAAGUCUGAAAUGUUAACCAGCACUUGUUCGUCACGUAGAUCCACCUUACUUUCAGUUUCUCACCAUAAUCAGUUGCUAACUGUAUGAAUUCAUGCCAUUGCUCAGUGAGCAGCUCUGGGAGAUCCAUGUGUUCAUAAUCUUGACUUUGUAAGUUACUAGCUGCGUGAAC